rnacentral:rRNA from 1 species
GACGAACGCUGGCGGCGUGCCUAAUACAUGCAAGUAGAACGCUGAAGGAGGAGCUUGCUCUUCUGGAUGAGUUGCGAACGGGUGAGUAACGCGUAGGUAACCUGCCUGGUAGCGGGGGAUAACUAUUGGAAACGAUAGCUAAUACCGCAUAACAGUAGAUGUUGCAUGACAUUUGCUUAAAAGGUGCAAUUGCACCACUACCAGAUGGACCUGCGUUGUAUUAGCUAGUUGGUGGGGUAACGGCUCACCAAGGCGACGAUACAUAGCCGACCUGAGAGGGUGAUCGGCCACACUGGGACUGAGACACGGCCCAGACUCCUACGGGAGGCAGCAGUAGAGAAUCUUCGGCAAUGGACGGAAGUCUGACCGAGCAACGCCGCGUGAGUGAAGAAGGGUUUCGGAUCGUAAAGCUCUGUUGUAAGAGAAGAACGAGUGUGAGAGUGGAAAGUUCACACUGUGACGGUAUCUUACCAGAAAGGGACGGCUAACUACGUG